rnacentral:rRNA from 1 species
GGGGAAUAUUGCACAAUGGGCGCAAGCCUGAUGCAGCGACGCCGCGUGCGGGAUGACGGCCUUCGGGUUGUAAACCGCUUUUGACUGGGAGCAAGCCCUUCGGGGUGAGUGUACCUUUCGAAUAAGCACCGGCUAACUACGUGCCAGCAGCCGCGGUAAUACGUAGGGUGCAAGCGUUAUCCGGAAUUAUUGGGCGUAAAGGGCUCGUAGGCGGUUCGUCGCGUCCGGUGUGAAAGUCCAUCGCUUAACGGUGGAUCCGCGCCGGGUACGGGCGGGCUUGAGUGCGGUAGGGGAGACUGGAAUUCCCGGUGUAACGGUGGAAUGUGUAGAUAUCGGGAAGAACACCAAUGGCGAAGGCAGGUCUCUGGGCCGUCACUGACGCUGAGGAGCGAAAGCGUGGGGAGCGAACAGGAUUAGAUACCCUGGUAGUCCACGCCGUAAACGGUGGAUGCUGGAUGUGGGGACCAUUCCACGGUCUCCGUGUCGGAGCCAACGCGUUAAGCAUCCCGCCUGGGGAGUACGGCCGCAAGGCUAAAACUCAAAGAAAUUGACGGGGGCCCGCACAAGCGGCGGAGCAUGCGGAUUAAUUCGAUGCAACGCGAAGAACCUUACCUGGGCUUGACAUGUUCCCGACAGCCGUAGAGAUACGGUCUCCCUUCGGGGCGGGUUCACAGGUGGUGCAUGGUCGUCGUCAGCUCGUGUCGUGAGAUGUUGGGUUAAGUCCCGCAACGAGCGCAACCCUCGCCCUGUGUUGCCAGCACGUCGUGGUGGGAACUCACGGGGGACCGCCGGGGUCAACUCGGAGGAAGGUGGGGAUGACGUCAGAUCAUCAUGCCCCUUACGUCCAGGGCUUCACGCAUGCUACAAUGGCCGGUACAACGGGAUGCGACACCGCGAGGUGGAGCGGAUCCCUUAAAACCGGUCUCAGUUCGGAUUGGAGUCUGCAACCCGACUCCAUGAAGGCGGAGUCGCUAGUAAUCGCGGAUCAGCAACGCCGCGGUGAAUGCGUUCCCG